rfam:Eutypa lata TCREL1 unplaced genomic scaffold EL1_03_scaffold_851, whole genome shotgun sequence.
UGCCGAUUGGCCCAGCGGUUAAGGCGUCCGACUGUUAAUCGGAAGAUCGUGAGUUCGAUCCUCACAUUGGCAG